rnacentral:rRNA from 1 species
UACGAAGGGGGCUAGCGUUGUUCGGAAUUACUGGGCGUAAAGCGUGCGCAGGCGGAUUUUUAAGCCAGAGGUGAAAUCCCGGGGCUCAACCUCGGAAUUGCCUUUGAUACUGGCUAGCUUGAGGCCGGGAGAGGUGAGUGGAAUUCCCAGUGUAGAGGUGAAAUUCGUAGAUAUUAGGAAGAACACCAGUGGCGAAGGCGGCUCACUGGCCCGGUACUGACGCUCAUGUGCGAAAGCGUGGGGAGCAAACAGG